CGAGCUUCUUCGUGCUACUUUCUUACUGUCUUUUUGUCUUUGCAUGUAAAUGAGUUUGGGAUUCCCAUCGACUUUUCAGUAAUUGUGCUGUGUAUCGUAUAGACUAUGGACUAACUAAAACCUCGCCUUUGACUUUGAUCAUAUGAUGAUGAUAGUGGUUUUACGUUCAAGGUUUCUUGAUUUCAGACAAAAGUUUUAUCAUUUGGGUCUAAAUAGCAAUUUUAUAUAAAUUGAGGAUUGAGUAGCAUAUCUUAUUACUAGGUGUUUUGCCCGUACAUGCGGACAUAAUCAUCUUACAAAUACUUAUUAUUUUAUGAUUUAUUAAUUUAAAAAUCGGUAUAAUAAAACUCUAAUUGGUGAACAAUAAAGAAAAAAAAUAUGGUAAAUUCUUUGUUCCUCGAAAUUUAUACCAGUUAUGUUGAAAUUUUAGUUAAAUUAUUGAAAGGUAGAUCUCACUUUUUUCUUCUAAAUUCUCCAUGGAAGAAUGAAUUUAUAAGAAAAACUUUUUUCAACUUUAUACAAGAUCGUUUAAGUAAUAGAGUCAAUGGGUGGACUUUCAAGUUUUUCACAAAAGGUGGAAAGGAAGUGAUCAUUAAAACAGUGAUUACGGCAUUACCAAAUCAUACGAUGUCCUGCUAUCGAUUGCCUAAAGCAACGGUGAAAAAACUGACAAGCGCGGUAUCACAAUUUUGGUGGAGUCCAGGGGGAAGUACAAGAGGCAUACACUGGAAAUCAUGGGACAAGGUAUGUGUAGACAAAGAGGAUGGAGGUCUGGGGUUUAAAGAUAUCACUGAUUUCAACACAGCGAUGCUUGGUAAACAGUUAUGGCGUUUAAUAGAGAAGCCAGACACCUUAUUUUCUCGAGUUUUCAAAGGUCGGUAUUUUAGGAAUGCUUCACCCUUGGAACCGAUUCGUUCAUAUUCUCCGUCAUACGGCUGGCGGAGUAUUAUUUCUGCUAGAUCUCUGGUUAGCAAAGGACUAAUCAAAAGGGUGGGAUCAGGGUCUUCUAUAUCCGUAUGGAAUGACCCUUGGCUCCCAACCACUCGCCCGAGACCAGCUAAUAAAAAUCAACAUAAUUUAUACCCGGACCUUACAGUAGAGUCCCUCAUUGACUCUACCUCGCGUACUUGGAAUUCAGACGCAAUUCGGGCUUUGGUGGACCCUCAGGAUGCGAAACUUAUAGAAAGUAUUCCCCUAAGCAGGACUCAGCGGGUUGAUAGAGAUGGAUGGCACUUUACAAAAAAUGGAAAAUAUACGGUCAAAUCAGGAUAUCAGGUAGAGCGGAUUUAUCCAGAUAGAGAAAGAGUACCAAUACUGAUUGGUCCCACAGUGGAUGUAUUGAAGGCUUUCUGCUGGAAAAUACGGUGUUCGCCAAAGCUAAAACAUUUCCUAUGGCAACUAGUGACAGGGUGUAUAGGAGUGCGGAAGAAUUUACAAGCAAGGGGGAUUCAAGGGGAUAUUUGUUGUGCAAGAUGUGGAGCUCCUGAGGAAUCAAUAAAUCAUGUGUUUUUUGAAUGUCCUCCAGCUCUCCAAGUUUGGGCUCUUUCGAAGAUACCAUCAAAUCCAACUAUUUUCCCAACAAGUUCUCUCUUCACAAACAUGGAUCAUCUAUUCUGGAGAGUUUUACCACAGAUGGAGGAUCACCAGUUUGUAUGGAUACUAUGGUACAUCUGGAAAGCUAGGAAUAAUAAAGUUUUCAGCAAUUUGGAUAUGGACCCUAUGGAUACGCUUAAAUUGGCGGAAACAGAAUCGACAUUGUGGGCUGAGGCACAAGUUGUGAAUGACCAGAGGAUGCCACCACCAAUAAUAGAUAUGAUAUUGCCGUCGAUCCCAGGAAGAUGGUGUUUCACAGAUGGCUCGUGGAAAGAGGGGGUUACUUUUUCAGGGCAAGGUUGGCUUAGUACUUUGGAAGGUUUUAAUGGAUUGUUGGGGGCGAGGAAUGUUCGGGCUAGUCUUUCGCCUCUUCAUGCGGAGAUGGAAGCGCUACUAUGGGCAAUGGAAUGUAUGAGGAAUUUACGUCAAUUUCAGGUCACGUUUGCAACAGAUUGUUCUCAAUUGGUGAAGAUGGUUUCGGAACCAGAAGAAUGGCCAGCUUUUGCAAAUUAUUUGGAUGAUAUCAAGAUCCUGAAAGAGAGUUUCUCCCGAUCAGAGCUUAUCUAUGUACCACGAACGCACAAUUCAAAGGCGGAUAGUCUAGCACGCAGUGCUAGAAAGCAAUCGUCUUUCGUCGUUCACAUGGAUGAAGAUUACCCGGUUUGGUUUACAGAGUCAGUAUGAGUCUGUAUAUUUUAUAUAAAUAAUUUUAAUUUCGGUAAGAUUUUUUUAUCUCUCAGAAUAUUUUUUUAAUUAAUGUAAAUAUUAAAUUUAUAAUUAUAAUUUGAUUUGUCAUUAACAUUUUGAAUGAAUUAUUAAAAUUUCAUAGUUUUCUAAUAACAUAUUUUUAAAUAGUAUAUGAACUAAAUGUUAGUUAUAAACUAUUAUAUUUUUGUAUAUUAAUUUUUUUAAACAAUAUAUUGUUGAGAGUUUCAAAAUAAAAAAUAAAAUAAUAUGUAGUUGUAGUUAUUAAAUUUUAACCUAUGUUUAUAAAUUUAAUUUUCUAAAAAAAUAUAAUAUAUUUUACGAAUUUUAACACAUUUUAAUGAUGAGUGAUAAUUUAUUUAAAUGAAACUAUUUCAAAAAUAAAAUAGAUAAAUUUACCCAUAUUUAAUUCAUAUAGUACUUCUAUUUUACUAUAAUACAUAAUAUAAUUAACAUAUAUAUAAAAAUAGUAUAGAAUUUUAUUUUAUUGUUUUAUAAUAAAUUUUUAAUUAACUUUGAAUUAUAAAGUUAUAUUAGUAUUUACGAAAUUAAUUAAGUAUUAUUUUAUAAAAAUACUUAGAAGGUUGGUAGGAUUUUGUUAGAUUUUUUCUCAACAGAAUUUGAUAUACUUAAAAAUAAAUUUAAAUUUAUAUUUGUUUUAUUAUUAAUGUAAAUAAUGAUAUAUGUCAUAUUAAGUAAUUUUUUAGAUGGUCCUAAAUGACUUGUUACAGUGGAUAAAAAAAAUAAGAUUCUAUUUUAAUUGAUUAGAAACGUCAAUAACUUAUUAGUGUAACGAUUUAAAAACGCCAAAAAAAACAAUUAAAAAAACGCACAUUAGAAUAGAAGGUAGGUUUUAUUAAAUUGAUGGUGGUGAAGUGAAAAAGAAAAGUCACCGAGGGCAAUAGUGGUAAAUAAAGAGAGAUGAGCAGGGGCGUAUUAGUAAAUUACAGAGCAAAGGAGGGGGCACUUCAUCUCCGACGAGUGGCAAGUGGUGAAGGUGUGGGGGAAAGCUAGAAAUCGACAAAAACAAACCGUCUUCUCUCGAUAUGACUCAUCUCUCUGCAUAGUCUUCUUCUCUUAACACAGGAGAAUCUUCUCUCUUCUCUCAUUUCGAAGACGACGAACAAAUCUCCAAGGUCAUUUGCAUUUUGCAUUUCCCCGGAAAACUUAAUUAUUUUUUUUUUUUUUAAAUGUUCUUCAGUCAAUAUUCUAACAUUUUUCAAUUUUUUAUAAAUCCGUUUUUGUUUAUAGGAAGGCGUGAAGAGUAAAAGUAUAACUGUUACCUUCCUCAAUGCAUUAAGUGAGCAUUCCAAUCCAAUCCUCUUUCCUCUUUCUCUCUCUCUUAAUUUAAAACUAUUUUGACUUGAUUCUCGCCGGAGCAGUUUGUUCGCCGGCGCAUUCUCUCGGAGGUUAUACUGUUCAUUGUCUUCCCUCUUUCUCUUUACAUCGUCUUUGGCUUUUCUUUUUUUCUCUUUUGCUUUCGUCAGCUUCAAGUGUUCAAAGAUGAAACCGUUUUUUAUUUUCUUUUUUGAAGAUCUUUGACUGUUCAAAAAGCCUAACGACCUGGAGAAUCUCUUCGAUUCGUAUCUUAUCAACUUUUUUUUCUUCUUUUUUUUUCUUACAGUCUAAGAAGAAUCUGCUCCCUGUUUAGUCAAGCCUCCUCAUGAACUGAGCUGACCUCUGAUCCGACGUCGUACUCGAUCUCAAUCAAAAAUGUCGUCGUCGGAUUAACUCGGAUCCAAUUCUCUGAUUCCCCGUAAUAUUACCUCACUCGAAGGUAACAAUCUCUCAAUAAUCUCAGCUUCUGGAUCUUAAAAACUUUGCUUGGAUAAAACGUCACGUGUUCGAUUCCCCUUGAAAGGAAUCCUUAAUUUUAAUAUGGUUUGGGGUGGUUUUAACAUGUUUCAGGAACUUUCUCGCGGUUAAUUGAUUUUGAGAGUUAAUGUCUCACUCAUGGGAUGGACUCGGGGAGAUAGCGUCAGUAGCUCAGCUCACGGGCCUAGACGCAGUCAAGCUCAUAGGCCUCAUAGUCAAAGCCGCGAACACCGCGUGGAUGCACAAGAAGAACUGCCGCCAGUUCGCUCAGCACCUCAAACUCAUCGGCAACUUGCUCGAGCAGCUCAAGAUCUCCGAGAUGAAGAAGUAUCCAGAGACUCGCGAGCCUCUCGAAGGCCUCGAGGAUGCUCUGAGGAGGUCUUACAUUUUGGUUAACAGUUGUCGUGACAGGAGCUAUCUUUACUUGUUGGCUAUGGGAUGGAACAUUGUUUACCAGUUCAGGAAAGCUCAGGACGAGAUUGAUCGUUUUCUCAAGAUCAUACCUCUCAUCACUUUGGUUGAUAACGCUCGUGUUAGGGUAAGUUUAGCUGAGUUUUUCAUUCUAAAGAGACAUACUUUCUUGUUUAGCCCUAGAAACUCGGUUCUUGAAUAGGUUUGGUCUCUAGAGGUUUAGCAUCCUUUCGGUAUUUAGAAAAUUUGUGGUUCGGUUAUUUCAGUUUUCGGUUUGGUUAUGGUAACAAAUUUAGGAAGUGGCUAAUAUCUAAGUUAAUUUAGGAUCUUAUUCGGUUUAGAUUUUCGGUUAAUUUAGGUUAAAAAGUCAGAAAAAUUGGAUUUUUCGGAUUAAAUAUCAGAUUUUUCGGGGUUUUUGAUUACUCCGAUAAUCUGAAAUAUUUUGGAUAAAAAAAUCUAUUUUGGUUUAUAAAUACUCCAUCCGUUUCUUUUUAAUUGGUAUUUUAGUAAGAAAACAUUUAAUUUUGCAUAUGUUAUACCUAACCAUAUUUCAACCAAUAGAAAAAUAAACUAGAGAAUAUUGUUAAUAAUUUUUGCAUUGAAAUUCUAAAACUACACUUGUUUUUGAAAUGAAAAAUUUUCUCUACAACUAUAAUUAAACUGAAAUGGAGAGAGUAAUAUUUUUCUGUUCGGUUUAUUUAGUUCUUCGGUUCCAGAUAAAUGUGUCCAUGCGUAAUGUUGUUAACGGGGGUUAAUGGAUUUUGUUUGUGCAGGAGAGGUUAGAGUACAUUGACCGUGAUCAGUUCGAGUACACUCUCGAUGAAGAGGAUAGACACGUGCAAGAUGUUAUUUUGAAACAAGAAUCCACCAGAGAAGCAGCUUCCGUGCUCAAGAAGACUCUCUCUUGCUCAUACCCUAACCUGCGUUUCUGCGAUGCUCUCAAAACUGAGAACGAGAAACUGCAGCUGGAGCUUCAGCGUUCGCAGGAGCAUUACGAUGUGGCUCAGUGUGAAGUCAUUCAGCGUUUGAUUGGUGUUACUCAAACUGUUGCUGAGGUUGACGGCGGCUCUGAGAAGGAGCUGUCCAAGAAAGCUUCCAAAAAGGCUGACCGUAGUGUAAGCCAUAAGACGGAAUAUUCGUAUGAGGAAGAUCCUCCCAUGAAAAGCACUAGUCGUGCAGCUUCAAGGUUACAUAACUUCAUGUGCUUUAUUAAAAUGCAAUUUGUGAUUAGUUUAUGUGACUAAUGUUUGAAUAACGCUGGCUAUAUAAUUGUUUCAUGCAGAUCCACUUCUUCUGUUACAUCAGGACAUGAUAUGCUUUCACGAAGAGCAUCACUACACCAUGAAGAAUGGCACACUGAUUUACUAGCUUGUUGCUCGGAACCUUCUCUUUGUGAGUUCUUCCCCUCUUCUUGCUUCCACUGUGAUUCCACUUUGUUUUCUCCGUUAUAUAAGAAAGGUGAUUAGCGUUUCACGUUCCAUACGUUCUUGUUAUUGUGAAUGAUGCAAUGAUGGAACUCGCAGGCUUGAAGACAUUUUUUUUCCCGUGUGGUACUUUGGCAAAGAUUGCCACUGCAGCAACUAACAGACACAUCUGUAAGUGGGAUAUAAUUAGUCAACUUUAUCAUGUUACAAUUUGUUAAUAAAUAAUACUUGUGAAAACUAAGAUGUUGACUUUGUUUUUGUUGGUCCUUCCAGCUUCAGCUGAAGCAUGUAAUGAGCUAAUGGCAUAUUCUUUGAUACUUUCUUGUUGCUGCUACACUUGUUGUGUAAGGAGGAAACUCCGGAAAACACUCAACAUUACGGUACACUCUCUUCAAAACCCCUGAACCCCUUAUCCAUCUCAAUAAUCUUUUGAUUCCAAACAUCUAUAUAUGGCUCCAAGAAAACAAUAGAUUAAAAAAAUAAAAAUUAAGUAGGCACCUCUAACACUCUAGUAAAUAUUAUAGGUGAGAUUGAAACACUUCAUCUCAAGAGCUUCAAAUCCGCAUUUGUCACAUACUUGAGGUUUUCUGAUUUGGCAGGGAGGGUUCAUUGACGAUUUUCUAUCUCAUUUGAUGUGUUGUUGCUGUGCUCUUGUCCAAGAACUGCGAGAAGUUGAGAUUCGUGGGGCUUAUGGUAUGAACUAUAUAGAUAGAUACAUCUUAACACAACGUUUGGUUUUAGCCUUAAAGCAUGAACAAAUAUCGUUUCUUAAUAUCCUCGCAGGUACGGAGAAGACGAAAAUAAGUCCACCUUCGUCGCAGUUCAUGGAACAUUGAAUUCUUAUACAAAAAGGUGAACUAAACAACGUUAUGACACGAGCUUCUUCGUGCUACUUUCUUACUGUCUUUUUGUCUUUGCAUGUAAAUGAGUUUGGGAUUCCCAUCGACUUUUCAGUAAUUGUGCUGUGUAUCGUAUAGACUAUGGACUAACUAAAACCUCGCCUUUGACUUUGAUCAUAUGAUGAUGAUAGUGGUUUUACGUUCAAGGUUUCUUGAUUUCAGACAAAAGUUUUAUCAUUUGGGUCUAAAUAGCAAUUUUAUAUAAAUUGAG
rnacentral:lncRNA from 1 species